UACGUAGGGCGCAAGCGUUGUCCGGAAUUAUUGGGCGUAAAGAGCUCGUAGGCGGCUUGUCACGUCGGGUGUGAAAGCCCGGGGCUUAACCCCGGGUCUGCAUUCGAUACGGGCUAGCUAGAGUGUGGUAGGGGAGAUCGGAAUUCCUGGUGUAGCGGUGAAAUGCGCAGAUAUCAGGAAGAAUAUCCGUGGCGAAGGCGGCUCUCUGGUACGGCACUGACGCUGAGACGCGAAAGCGUGGGGAGCAAACAGG
rnacentral:rRNA from 1 species